AUUGAACGCUGGCGGCAGGCCUAACACAUGCAAGUCGAGCGGAUGAAGGGAGCUUGCUCCUGGAUUCAGCGGCGGACGGGUGAGUAAUGCCUAGGAAUCUGCCUGGUAGUGGGGGAUAACGUCCGGAGACGGGCGCUAAUACCGCAUACGUCCUGAGGGAGAAAGUGGGGGAUCUUCGUACCUCACGCUAUCAGAUGAGCCUAGGUCGGAUUAGCUAGUUGGUGGGGUAAAGGCCUACCAAGGCGACGAUCCGUAACUGGUCUGAGAGGAUGAUCAGUCACACUGGAACUGAGACACGGUCCAGACUCCUACGGGAGGCAGCAGUGGGGAAUAUUGGACAAUGGGCGAAAGCCUGAUCCAGCCAUGCCGCGUGUGUGAAGAAGGUCUUCGGAUUGUAAAGCACUUUAAGUUGGGAUGAAGGGCAGUAAGUUAAUACCUUGCUGUUUUGACGUUACCAACAGAAUAAGCACCGGCUAACUUCGUG
rnacentral:rRNA from 1 species